rnacentral:rRNA from 1 species
CCUACGGGAGGCAGCAGUGGGGAAUAUUGCACAAUGGGGGAAACCCUGAUGCAGCAACGCCGCGUGAAGGAAGACGGUUUUCGGAUUGUAAACUUCUGUUCUUAGUGAAGAAUAAUGACGGUAGCUAAGGGGCAAGCCACGGCUAACUACGUGCCAGCAGCGGCGGUAAUACGUAGGUGGCCAGCGUUGUACGGAAUUACUGGGUGUAAAGGGAGCGCAGGCGGGAAGCCAAGUGCGCUGUGAAAACUACGGGUUUAACGUGUAGACUGCAGUUGAAACUGGUUGUCUUGAGUGAAUGAGAGGUUGGCGGAAUUCGGGGUGUAGCGGUGAAAUGCGUAGAUAUUCGGAGGAACACCGGUGGCGAAGGCGGCCAACUGGGCUUUAACUGACGCUGAGGCUCGAAAGUGUGGGGAGCAAACAGGAUUAGAUACCCGAGUAGUC